UACACACAGUGUUUUUUGUUAUUACAAGAACUUUUGCUUUGGUCUGGACUAGAAAUAGUUUGGGCCAGAGGUUUACUGAACUAAACUUCAAUAUUUAUAUUGAAUUGUUAUUUAUUUAAUUGUCAAUUUGUUGAUUAAAUUCAAAAAAUCUUCAAAACUUUCAACAACGGAUCUCUUGGUUCUCGCAUCGAUGAAGAACGCAGCGAAAUGCGAUAAGUAAUAUGAAUUGCAGAUUUUCGUGAAUCAUCGAAUCUUUGAACGCACAUUGCGCCCUCUGGUAUUCCAGAGGGCAUGCCUGUUUGAGCGUCAUUUCUCUCUCAAACCUUCGGGUUUGGUAUUGAGUGAUACUCUUAGUCGAACUAGGCGUUUGCUUGAAAUGUAUUGGCAUGAGUGGUACUGGAUAGUGCUAUAUGACUUUCAAUGUAUUAGGUUUAUCCAACUCGUUGAAUAGUUUAAUGGUAUAUUUCUCGGUAUUCUAGGCUCGGCCUUACAAUAUAACAAACAAGUUUGACCUCAAAUCAGGUAGGAUUACCCGCUGAACUUAAGCAUAUAA
rnacentral:rRNA from 1 species